rnacentral:rRNA from 1 species
CCUACGGGUGGCAGCAGUGAGGAAUAUUGGUCAAUGGCCGGAAGUCUGAACCAGCCAUGCCGCGUGCGGGAAGACGGCUCUAUGGGUUGUAAACUCCUUUUGUACGAGGGUAAACGCAGAUACGCGUAUCUUUCUGAAAGUAUCUUACGAAUAAGGAUCGGCUAACUCCGUGCCAGCAGCCGCGGUAAUACGGAGGAUUCAAGCGUUAUCCGGAUUUAUUGGGUUUAAAGGGUGCGUAGGCGGUCGGAUAAGUUAGAGGUGAAAUCCCGUGGCUCAACUUAGGAAUUGCAUUUGAUACUGUUAGGCUAGAGAGUAGUUGCGGUAGGCGGAAUGUAUGGUGUAGCGGUGAAAUGCGUAGAGAUCAUACAGAACACCGAUUGCGAAGGCAGCUUACCAGGCUACUACUGACGUUGAGGCACGAAAGCGUGGGGAGCAAACAGGAUUAGAUACCCCAGUAGUC